AAUGAGAGGAGAAACCAUAUUUGGUGUAUUUUCCUCCUGGUUCCUAUUUGCCAUGUCUUAUGGCACAUGUCCUCUAUAUGUUAUGUCUGUAUUAAGUAAAAAUGACAUACAUCUUUCUCUUCAGCAUGACCAGAGCUCUCCAAAAAGCUCAAGAGAGACCAAACUGGAAACCUCCAGUGGAUGAACAGGAAACCUCUCCUUCCGUUGGGACCCAAGCUCCAAGAGCCUUAUGGGAAAUGUAGUCCUCGAUGAAUUUCUGCGGACCCUGGGAAAUCUGGCCGAAUCAAUGCUUCCAUACACUUGCACUGCGCUGGAUGGGCAGUGUUCUCAGUGCUUUGGCUGGUUUGGCGCCAGCAUCCCGUGAAAGUUGAAGAGCAAAGACCGGCUUAUUGGUGCAUGUGAAAGAAGUAAAACUGGUUUGAAUCAUGGCAGUACAUGUAGUGCCAUCAAGGACUUUGUCCAUGGAGGUGGUGUUCCAGAUGUUUGAGGAGAGAGGAACCUGUAUGUUCAAGGAUGUGGCCAUGGACCUAACCAAGGAGGAGUGAGGGCAACUGGACCCUGCACAGAGGGCCCCGUACAAAGAGGUGAGCUGGAGAUCUACGGCGACCUGGUGUUAGUGGAUGGGGACAACUACUCUUUAGAGAAUUUUUGUUUCCUGGGUGGUUAAAAGCUGUGGGCUCUAAAAGUGUUACUAAGGAGGGGCUUGAGAUUCAAACCACAGAGUUUCUCAAUCACUGUUGAAGAAAGAAAAAUGUUGCUGCCUAAUAAAAAUCUGUUUCCCCUCCCCCACUUGUAUUUCUUUUUUUUCUUUUGAGAUAAAAUUCACAUAGCAUAAAAUCAACCAUUUUAAUUUGUACAGUUCAGUGGCAUUUAAUACAUCAAAGGAUUGUAUAAUUACCUUCUCUGUCAAGUUCCAAAGCAUUUUCAUCACCCCAAAAGGAGAUACUGCAGUUCUGCAUCCAGACCACCAUAAUAAAGUGAGUGUAACAAUAAAAUGAGUCAUAAUCUUUUUGUUGGUGGAAGGUGUUGCCUUCAGCUUGUAAAAAACGCAACACCUGGUAAGUGCAAUAAAGCAGUGCAAUAA